GAUGAACGCUGACAGAAUGCUUAACACAUCAGCAAUUGAUUGGUGGCGGAAGGGUGAGUAACGCGUAAAGAACUUACCUCACAGUUAGGGACAACAUUUGGAAACGAAUGCUAAUAACUAAUACUGUGAGAGAGCUUUGCGUCCCAUUAGCUAGUUGGAGAGGUAACGGCUCACCAAGGCGAUGAUGGGUAGCCGGCCUGAGAGGGUGAUCGGCCACAAGGGGACUGGGGCACGGCCCUUACUCAUUCGGCAGGCAGCAGUGGGGAAUAUUGGACGAUGGACCAAAGUCUGAUCAAGCAAUUCUGUGUGCACGAUGAUGUUUUCGUAAUGUAAAGUGCUUUCAGUUAGGAAGCGGUACCAACAGAAGAAGUGACGGCUAAAUACGUGCCAGCCGCCGCGGUAAUAC
rnacentral:rRNA from 1 species